rnacentral:lncRNA from 1 species
GUUAAAAAGAUCAUCGCUGACAAACAGGAAAACACAGUCAUAUACACUGAUUCCUUAAGCACACUGAAGGCUCUACAUGUGAAAUCUGAAUGUGAACCCCUAUUAGGGGAUAUUUUAAAUCUGAUCGCGCUGAAAAAAU